AGCGAACGCUGGCGGCAGGCCUAAUACAUGCAAGUCGAGCGCACCUUCGGGUGAGCGGCGGACGGGUGAGUAACGCGUGGGAACGUGCCCUUUGGUACGGGAUAACUGAGGGAAACUUCAGCUAAUACCGUAUGUGCCCUACGGGGGAAAGAUUUAUCGCCAUUGGAGCGGCCCGCGUUGGAUUAGGUAGUUGGUGAGGUAAAGGCUCACCAAGCCUACGAUCCAUAGCUGGGCUGAGAGGAUGAUCAGCCACACUGGGACUGGGACACGGCCCAGACUCCUACGGGAGGCAGCAGUAGGGAAUCUUGCGCAAUGGGCGAAAGCUUGACGCAGCCAUGCCGCGUGAAUGAUGAAGGUCUUAGGAUUGUAAAAUUCUUUCACCGGGGAAGAUAAUGACGGUACCCGGAGAAGAAGCCCCGGCUAACUUCGUGCCAGCAGCCGCCGUAACAC
rnacentral:rRNA from 1 species